rnacentral:tRNA from 1 species
GCCCGGGUAGCUCAAUUGGCAGAGCAUCGGCUUUGUAAGCCGGCGGCUGCGGGUUCGAGUCCCGCCCCGGGCU